AGCCAUGAUGUGGACAAGAAUUCAAUAGAUCCUUGAAUCUCUCCCAACAUUAGAAGAAUGUCUCUUCCUCUUUUUGAGAGAAAUUCAUGAUUGCCCUCCUUAGGGU